AUGGCCAAAGUUCCAGCGGUAAAAAAUACCAAGGCAAAGAAGCAAAAGGUUGAUGCAGCUGCAGCCAUGUAUGAGAAGUAUGUAAAGCAUGGGAAACCAUUGAGGAGAUCACAUGCCAAUGAACAAGUGACACCUUUCAUCAAGAUGGGUGGAUUUUACAUUGGAUACAAGAAAUUCCUGGUAUGCUUCAAGCCUCGUGGGGAUAUGAAUGAUGAGGUUAUGUCCCUAUGUAUCGAGAUGAACAACAUGACAUCCCGUGCAGCAAGUGGUACGAAUCGGAAGAAAUACAUGUUCUCAGUCCACGCGGGGAUGCUACUAAAACAAGACCCAACAACCUUCCAACCAGCAAAACUCAUACCCGAGCUUGAAAGGGCUGUGACAAAGUUCAAGGCGAAUAAAUAUGACCUCCUUUUUUUCACAAUUGUUCAUGAUAAGCACUGGAUAAUUGUUUGCGCAAACUUGCUAUACAAGCAGUGGAAUGUAUUUGACUCAAUCCAUUCAAAAGGAAAACAAUCUCCUUUGAAGAAGCAAGCAAAUAACCUGAUCACAAACUUUGCAGCCCUCGCACAAGAGUACAGCCAAUUCAAUGUCGAUGUUGGAUCCUUCGCCCGUGUUGACCUAGAGGAUUACCCAAAGCAAGAUAACCUAUGUGAUUGUGGCUUUUUCGGGCUCAAAUAUGUGGAGAACUUUGAUGGGAAGUCAAUGAAAGAGUUCAAUCAGGAAGACGUGGCGCGAUACCGCAUGGAUGUGGUGCACAACCUUUGCACUCACCCAAUGAACAAUGCCCCAAUGGAGCGGGCAUUCAAGGAAGAGUUGGCGGCUUAA
rnacentral:rRNA from 1 species